GACGAACGCUGGCGGCGUGCCUAAUACAUGCAAGUAGAACGCUGAAGGAGGAGCUUGCUCUUCUGGAUGAGUUGCGAACGGGUGAGUAACGCGUAGGUAACCUGCCUGGUAGCGGGGGAUAACUAUUGGAAACGAUAGCUAAUACCGCAUAACAGUAGAUGUUGCAUGACAUUUGCUUAAAAGGUGCAAUUGCACCACUACCAGAUGGACCUGCGUUGUAUUAGCUAGUUGGUGGGGUAACGGCUCACCAAGGCGACGAUACAUAGCCGACCUGAGAGGGUGAACGGCCACACUGGGACUGGGACACGGCCCAGACUCCUAAGGGAGGCAGCAGUAGGGAAACUUCGGCAAUGGACGGAAGGCUGACCGAGCAACGCCGCGUGAGUGAAGAAGGUUUUCGGAUCGUAAAGCUCUGUUGUAAGAGAAGAACGAGUGUGAGGGUGGAAAGUUCACACUGUGACGGUAUCUUACCAGAAAGGGACGGCUAACUACGUG
rnacentral:rRNA from 1 species